GGACAAGCCAGGGACAUCCACUACCAAGCCAGUCACUUGCAGGGAAAAAAACGUCUACUGUCAACAAAGGGUCUAGAGAAGAAACAAAACAAUCCUGCAACCAAACAGCUGCCUGAGGUUUUGAAGCUAGAUGCACUGGAACUCCACUUUUUGAACAGAGUGUGAAGUCAAUUCCUCCGAGGGCUGUCAGCAAACAUUUUGGGCCUGGUUCCUGGAUCAUCAACAGAAUUCUGUCCUUGACAUCUGGAACACCCAUCUGAGAGGUG
ensembl:lncRNA